rnacentral:rRNA from 1 species
AGUGAACGCUGGCGGUAGGCCUAACACAUGCAAGUCGAACGGCAGCACAGUAAGAGCUUGCUCUUACGGGUGGCGAGUGGCGGACGGGUGAGGAAUACAUCGGAAUCUACUUUUUCGUGGGGGAUAACGUAGGGAAACUUACGCUAAUACCGCAUACGACCUACGGGUGAAAGCAGGGGGUCUUCGGACCUUGCGCGAUUGAAUGAGCCGAUGUCGGAUUAGCUAGUUGGCGGGGUAAAGGCCCACCAAGGCGACGAUCCGUAGCUGGUCUGAGAGGAUGAUCAGCCACACUGGAACUGAGACACGGUCCAGUCUCCUACGGGAGGCAGCAGUGGGGAAUAUUGGACAAUGGGCGCAAGCCUGAUCCAGCCAUACCGCGUGGGUGAAGAAGGCCUUCGGGUUGUAAAGCCCUUUUGUUGGGAAAGAAAAGCAGCAGGUUAAUACCCCGCUGUUCUGACGGUACCCAAAGAAUAAGCACCGGCUAACUUCGUG